rnacentral:rRNA from 1 species
AGUGAACGCUGGCGGUAGGCCUAACACAUGCCAGUCGAACGGCAGCACAGUAAGAGCUUGCGCUUACGGGUGGCGAGUGGCGGACGGGUGAGGAAUACAUCGGAAUCUACUUUUUCGUGGGGGAUCACGUAGGGAAACUUACGCUAAUACCGCAUACGACCUACGGGUGAAAGCAGGGGAUCUUCGGACCUUGCGCGAUUGAAUGAGCAGAUGUCGGAUUAGCUAGUUGGCGGGGUAAAGGCCCACCAAGGCGACGAUCCGUAGCUGGUCUGAGAGGAUGAUCAGCCACACUGGAACUGAGACACGGUCCAGACUCCUACGGGAGGCAGCAGUGGGGAAUAUUGGACAAUGGGCGCAAGCCUGAUCCAGCCAUACCGCGUGGGUGAAGAAGGCCUUCGGGUUGUAAAGCCCUUUUGUUGGGAAAGAAAAGCAGCAGGUUAAUACCCCGCUGUUCUGACGGUACCCAAAGAAUAAGCACCGGCUAACUUCGUG